UGGGGAAUAUUGGACAAUGGGCGAAAGCCUGAUCCAGCCAUGCCGCGUGUGUGAAGAAGGUCUUCGGAUUGUAAAGCACUUUAAGUUGGGAGGAAGGGCAGUAAGCGAAUACCUUGCUGUUUUUACGUUACCGACAGAAUAAGCACCGGCUAACUCUGUGCCAUCAGCCGCGGUAAUACAGAGGGUGCAAGCGUUAAUCGGAAUUACUGGGCGUAAAGCGCGCGUAGGUGGUUCGUUAAGUUGAAUGUGAAAGCCCCGGGCUCAACCUGGGAACUGCAACCAAAAAUGGCGAGAUAGAGUAGGGCAGAGGGUGGUGGAAUUUCCUGUGUAGCGGUGAAAUGCGUAGAUAUAGGAAGGAACACCAGUGGGGAAGGCGACCACAUGGGAUCAUAAUGACACUGAGGUGAGAAAGCGUGGGGAGCAAAAAGG
rnacentral:rRNA from 1 species